CCAGACUCCUACGGGAGGCAGCAGUGAGGAAUAUUGGUCAAUGGCCGAGAGGCUGAACCAGCCAAGUCGCGUGAGGGAAGACGGCCCUACGGGUUGUAAACCUCUUUUGUCGGGGAGCAAAGCGAGCCACGUGUGACUCAUUGAGAGUACCCGAAGAAAAAGCAUCGGCUAACUACGUGCCAGCAGCCGCGGUAAUACGUAGGGGGCAAGCGUUAUCCGGAUUUACUGGGUGUAAAGGGUGCGUAGGUGGCAGGGCAAGUCAGAUGUGAAAGCCCGGGGCCCAACCCCGGUACUGCAUUUGAAACUGUCCGGCUGGAGUGCAGGAGAGGUAAGCGGAAUUCCUAGUGUAGCGGUGAAAUGCGUAGAUAUUAGGAGGAACACCAGUGGCGAAGGCGGCUUACUGGACUGUAACUGACACUGAGGCACGAAAGCGUGGGGAGCAAACAGGAUUAGAUACCCCUGUA
rnacentral:rRNA from 1 species